CCAUGUUUCGCUCGCUCUCCGACGAAGCCAGAUUCUCCGCCCAUCUCCCCCAUCGAUUCCUCCCAGUUCCAUCACCUUCUCCAAUCCUAGAUCUCCACUUCCAGAACCCGUCGCACGAGCGAGGGGAAGGGGUUGUCCCGGCGCGGUGGGGAUUAUGGGUUCUCCCUCGAUCUCUCUCCCGUGGUGCUCCAAAACCGCGCCCCGGCUGGAUCCAUCGAUACCCGAGCCUCGCGCCGGCCGGAUCCGUCCGCCGCCACCACUUAUUUGAUCUCCACUCGCUCGUGCCGUUUCAUCCCGUGACCACUCAAGCCAUCUCAGAUCGACCUAUCCCGAGGCAGCGAUGGCAGCGGCCCUCGCGAGCUUGCCCCUCGUUCACCUCACAACAGCGACCCGCAUGCACUUCUUGGCGCAGGAAACAACGGUGUGGAUCUCGCUGCAAAGCUCGCACAAGAACCGACGACAGCGCUCGCAAGUCCGGCCGUCCCAAGACCUAGAGAGAGAUCCACAUUUGGAGCCGAUUCGCCCGACCCCCAUCUUGCUCUCGAAGAAACUGGUCUGACACUACUUCCAGGUGAGGGUCCUUGCUCCCUGCACAUUCAUAUGUCCCUGCGUUGUUUGCUAGUUUUUCAUAUCCUUCUUGUGAUGUCCCUGGUAGUAUAUCUAGCAUUAUUAAUUUCGGGUUUAGAUCGAUCCAGGCUACUAGCCUACUACUGUAUCCAAGCCCUGUUGUUCUUUUGCAGAUCAAUACUUGUAAACUAGCUAUGAUUUAUUUUGAUGCCCACUAACAAAAAAUUUAACUAAUUUUAUUAAUGUUCAUGUUUUUUUGUGCUAAAACCAAACAUGCGAUUUAGUUUUUCUUUUUUAUGUUUCUGUACAUUUCAAUUAUUCAACCAGUUCGCUGUUUGAGUCCUCCCUAGAAUUUUGUAUAGUUAAAACCAGUGGUAGUUGGCCAAGCAAGAUAUAUGAGCAGCCUGAUAAUAUGAUGAUGUUUACUACGUCUUUCUAUUAAUUUUAGCCAAUGGUUCUGCAUUUGGUUAAUUUAUCUUAUAUUAAUGUUUUCUUACAGGGAGAUAGAAAUUGAAGCUCUCUGAGCUGACAUGCAGAUGUAUGUCCAAAAUCAUUUCCCACAAUCCAUUAGUAUUGCAAGUUCCAGCUUAAGAUUUAUCACCUAAAAGCUACGUGCAUCCUGGGCAUAUGAUCCUGGGCAUCAUUAUUUUACUUUUACAAGCAGUAGUGAUUGUACUCUAUUACAAGUUGGUUCUGCUAUAUACUUGCAUACUGCUUAUAUGUUUUUCUCAGCAAAGAUUCUUGUGCUUUGGAAGUGGAGUGGUGUCCUGUCAAGUAGUACAUUUUUCUUUGUGCAUGAACUGACUGAUUUUGACACUGGAAGAUAAAUUAAGUAGCCUAGUUCAAAGUCUCACAAACUUUAUAAAAUAAGCCUUCACAUUUUGAUCUGUCAAGUAGUACCUUCUACUUAAUCUGCAACCUGUAGCCUGGGAUGUUCUGCAAUUCAAUUCCAUGUUCUAACAGUUUACGUGUAGUUUAGGUAGCAUUAUUUUCUAGUUCCCCUUGUAAUUAUCCAUACUGCUUAUUAGUGGUAUGUUGCAUUCAAAGUAUGCAAUACUCAGGCUGCAAUUCUGAGGCGUUGAUGCAAACAUCGACUUCAGCCUGGACGACUACAAGGAGGACAUCAAGAAGCCAUGGAAUGGCUUUCAUAUUGGCAGAUUAGCCGCUGCAGCAAGGAGGAGUUCCAGGUUCCAGGGCAGCUCCAGGUUCUGUGGCGUCACCCUGGACCCUGCACAAGUGUGGCAAGUGGGAGCCAGGAUCGGCCGGCUCAUGGGCAAAGAAGUAAGCAAUCUACCUACAUCUUUAGAGAUUAUUCUCAAGAACAACAUCUGUUAACUUGACACAAAUAUGAACAUGAAAACCUCUGGCUAUACCCUGUGCUGAUCAUUGCAGGUUCAUGUUCCUUGUUCUGUAUGACAUAGAGAUGGAUGUUGCAAGGUAUGGAAUCUCCACCUAGUUCCUGCUCUGCUCAUUCUAUUUGUGGCAUGAUCGAUUGUAUCUGUCCAUGAAUUCUGCCUUGUGCUGUGAUUCUUCGAUCAGGCUUACGACAUGGCCACGAUAGACAGCUGUGAGCGGAGCGCAUGCGCAUCAGGACCUUACUUUAGCAUAUCCGCAAUUAACUAGGUGGAACAUUUAGAAUUUGAGCAUGAAGUAGCUAAGCAGUCCUGUAACUGAAUGUGCACCAUUGAAUGCAUAUACUUAGAAAUUAAAACGUACAAAUAUUCCAGACUAUAUUUCAGUGAGAACACAGGGGACAAACAUAGCAUAUAGGAAACAUGCUGCUAUCCUAUGCACCGAAACUGUAAAACUAUAGAACCCUGUUGUAUGACAUUUCAGACGAGUACUAGCAAUUGCAAAGCUAUGCAGCGAGCAACUAUAUCAGUUUGCAGGGAGAUGAAUAUGUAAGUACUUGUAAAGUUUAACCUGAAAUCACAACUGUGUAAUACAACUAACAGUUAUAAAUUCUAACCAAUAAACUAGAUCUGAAGCAACUUGUUUGAUGAUCUAAUAGUUGAAAUAACCGUGGUCAUGUGUACCCCCUACUACAUAUUAAUAAAGAAUAAUGGAUUAUACCUCCAGGCUUUGAUUGUUGUCUAGGGAUUACCAUGCUGGUGAUAAUAAUCAAAAUGACUGUACUAAUGUGUUCAAAGAGAUAUGAUUGUACUGAAAUGUCAUGACAUGAAGCUUCUAUGGUGGAAGUGUGCAGUAUCUGGAUGAGAACAAGCAGCUGAUCCUAGCCAUCAACCUGGAUGAGUAGGCACGACCUGAUGAUUUUUGGCCGUUAUUUGCUGACUCAUGUAACAGGGCGACCUCGGAAGGCAGGAUGAUAGUUCAUAUUGCUGUUCUGGUAGCGCAGUGUACUGAAGGUCAUGGUGUAGUCCUGUCUAUUGUCAGCCCAGUUUGUGAUGCAGUCGAUGGUCCUCCAGGCUGAAGUUUAUUGCUACACCUGUAGAGCUAGAUAUACUGUGAUUAAAGCUGUAUUUUUGUUAUAUGAUAUAACAGAUUGGUUGUCUGCCUAUUAUUUGAAGUAUUACGUGUGUUUUCAUUAUGUUCCUAAA